AAGGAGACGUGUUAGGGUAUAUAGGGAGAAGGAUGCUGAGGAUAGAGUCACCAGGGAGGAGGAGAAGAGGGAGUCCAAAUAGGAGAUUUAUGGACGUGUUGAGGGAGGACAUGCAGGUGGUUGGUGUCACAGAAGGAAGACACAGAGGACAGGGU